UACAGAGGGUGCGAGCGUUAAUCGGAAUUACUGGGCGUAAAGCGCGCGUAGGCGGCUUUGCAAGUCGGGUGUGAAAUCCCCAGGCCUAACCUGGGAACUGCAUUCGAGACUGCAUGGCUAGAGUAUCGGAGAGGGAAGUGGAAUUCCGGGUGUAGUGGUGAAAUGCGUAGAGAUCCGGAGGAACACCAGUGGCGAAGGCGACACGCUGGGCCGUACCUGACGCUAAAGCGCGACAGCAUGGGGAGCAAACGGG
rnacentral:rRNA from 1 species